rnacentral:lncRNA from 1 species
UAUUGCUAUGAGUGUAUACACUCUCUUAAAGUCUUCCUUUCUAAAAUAUUUAUAUCCAUUAGGUCUAAAUGAUUUCCUUUUACCUUUUGGGUCUGAUAAGAUUUGGGUAUGUGUCUAUAUCUAUAUAUAUACACACAGACAUAUGUAUAUACAUGUAUACAUAUAUAUGUGUGUAUACAUACAUACAAUACCAUGUCAGACUUAAAGAUAAAUAUCUUUAACUCAUUGUAUAUAAACAUUAUUAAAUUUAGUUUUCCAUUAAUUAUUUAAGUAAAGAAUUAGUUAAGCAGCCAGAUUUUCUACUUUGUAUGUAUACUUCAAAGUUUUUACCAUCUCAAAGCUGCAGAUUAAAUAGAUGCAUAUAUACUGGCAAUUGAGUAUACUCUAAAAUUAUUAAGCCUUCUGCCAGUCCUUUUGUUUCAUUUUUUUCAUAGUUAAUCAUUCAAAAAUGAGAUGAUGCUAUGACUUUUUGAUACUUAAAAUUCCCAAGAAUUCAUUAGCCGUAAUUAAAUAUGAUCCAGUUCAAAACUCUGGUCUUAGGACAUGUAUUGCCAUGUAUCUUAUAAAAUAAGCUACUAUUCUUAUCUGUGCAAUAUGCAUUUUAUUUAUUGUCAUUUGUAACAUACAUGGAGCUGCAAGUGUUCAUGGUAUCCUUCAAAAUAACAGAAUCCCUGCCUUGAAGACAUUAAACUCUUAAGGCAACUGGAAGUUAGAAGUUAAAAAAUGAGCAUGAAAGUUAGUAACCAAAAGUACUAGUUCACUGUAUAAUUCUAAAACACUGAUGAUGUUUGCACCUAAUAAUCCAAGCAUAAUGUGGUACAGGCUCAAACUGUAGUAAUAUAAGCUAAUAGUAUGAAAUUUGGAAACGGGUUCCUCUUGAUAGUUGGCAGUGUGCUCCUAGCAAUCGAAAGCAGCACUAAUCUGUUGCUUUAUGCAAAAGAUGCAAUGUAUUAUAAAGAUAUUAAAGUUCCUCUACAUUUUAUAAUUUUCCUUGUUAAAGCCCCAGACUGCCAUGUCCCUGAAACUUGAGUCAAACACAAGCUUAUUUGCACUAAAGAGCAUGGCCAAAAAAAUAAAUGACAGGGUGGAAAAGCUAGUUGGAACCUCUUGAAAUAAUUGGUUCUAAUAUGAGAAUUUCACAUUUGUCUAUUUGAAAGCUGUAUGGUCCAGGCAGACAAUCUGUCAGUUCACUAAUUUAAUAAUGCACUUUACCUUUUGUAUAUAGAAGAUGUACAUUUAUGCCACUUGACAGGUGGGAUGUGUUUCAAUAACUAUGUAGCUAGAAUCUAUAAGGUGAUCCCGUGCAUGCAUAUGUUUGUGUUGGAACUGUUGUUGUAACAGGUUUCCAUUAAAUCAGUGUAAUGGAGAAGGGUAGAAGAUGCUUUUGAAACAAAUCCCAGUAUAUUUAACAAAGAAUUUUAAAGUAGAGUUCACAUUUGAUGUCUUAAGAACUAGAAUAAAUAAAAUACUAUUUCUAACCCAAAUUCUUAUUACAGUUGAGACUAUAUUUAGUUGAGAUUCCCCACAGUGCCCUGACAGUUAAUUUGGGGAAUUUGUCUAGACAAAAUUUUUUUCAAUCAUUGUUUCAUUGUUGAUAUGUGUUUAAGUAAUGAAUAAAUAUGCAGUACAU